GUGUAGGGCAUGCAGAGAAAUCGUCGUUCCGCCUUAGUGAGUUGGAGCCCUAAUUCCGUUCCCAGAUACUCCGUCCAGGUUAUUGUUACUUUUGAGUUCUAACGCCAGGAUCCAUGAGUACCUUCCAUAAGUUGGUAGCUGUGGGUGUUGGUGCUGCGUUAAGUGUUGUCACUGUAAUAACAGCUGCGUCUCUAAGACGCCAUCUGGACAGGAUGGAUGAUGAGGUGAUUUGGGAAAAGUACCAAAGCGCAGUCAGAAAAAGCCGCGAGGAAAAUACUCGCUGACCGUCGUCUCCACCAAAAUGGCUCACACUUUUGCGUCCUUUUAGCCAUUAGAUGUUAGAAAUCUCCAUGUUUUUUUAUGGGCUGUCGUUCUGCUGUCGUUCUGCUGUCGUAUUUAAUGUUAAGCAGCUAGUACCUAUGUAGUCACCACGAAGUUCCGAGGAGAAUGGUUUUGCUUUAUUAGUCUCGGAUUGUGGUUGUUUUUGUAUCUCGUCUUAUAAGUAAAGCUGUUCUUCGUACAAUUUUCCUAAAGGCAUGGACCAAAGGUUUAGCUUG